CCCUCCCCCCCUUCCCCCUGCCACCCAUUCUCCCCCUCCCCCCUCCCCUCCCCUCCCCUCCUCCCAUAGUGUGCGUGAACUUCUGAUGCCACCAAUCAUCACUGCUCCUCGACGGCACUAUGUCCAAGGCCAUUAACGCCUAUCGCAUCAAGAAGAUCGAGAGCAUCGGGAGGAUGACGGCCCUGACGCAGGAGGAGGUGGUGUCCCACACGCGGACGGUGGUGCAGGGGCUGGAGGCCCUGCGGAACGAGCACAACUCCAUCCUGACGGGCAUCAACAACUCCAUCACCUCCGCCCAGCACCAUCCGCCGGACUCCAAUGUCUUCUCAGAGAAGGCUGGCAUCAUACAGAAGUCCCUCGACCAGAUCGAGCUCGGGCUCUCCGAGGCUCAGAUUAUGCUGGCACUGGCCUCCCACCUGCAGACGGUUGAGGCUGAGAAACAGAAGUUGCGUGCACAGGUGCGACGGCUUUGCCAGGAGAACGCGUGGCUUAGGGACGAGCUGGCCUCCACCCAGCAGAAGCUGCAGGCCUCAGAACAGCAUGUGGCGCAGCUGGAGGAAGACAAGAAGCACCUCGAGUUCAUGUCCACCAUCAAGAAAUACGAUGCGGACGUACAGGACUCAGAGUCAUCCAUGGAGGAGAAGAAAGACAAAAGCGAUGAUCCCGUUGUGGACCUAUUUCCAGACGACGAUGCCGAUGACAGGGCUGCUGCUAUGUCCCCAACUCCACCGUCCCAGUUCGCACAGCAGGUGAAUGCUGGUUAUGAAAUACCAGCUCGUCUUCGUACUUUGCACAAUCUAGUAAUCCAAUAUGCCUCACAGGGACGCUACGAGGUGGCAGUUCCUCUAUGCAAACAAGCACUGGAGGACCUCGAGAAGACCUCCGGACAUGACCAUCCUGAUGUGGCAACUAUGCUCAAUAUUCUGGCCCUCGUCUACAGGGACCAGAAUAAAUACAAAGAAGCAGCGAACCUCCUGAAUGAUGCCCUUGCCAUCCGGGAGAAGACCUUGGGGGAGAACCACCCUGCAGUCGCAGCCACCCUCAAUAACCUAGCCGUGUUAUAUGGGAAGCGAGGCAAGUACAAGGAGGCCGAGCCCCUGUGCAAGCGAGCCUUGGAGAUCCGCGAGAAGGUCUUAGGCCGCGACCACCCUGAUGUGGCCAAGCAACUCAACAACCUAGCCUUACUUUGUCAGAACCAGAUCUCCCAGGAGGAGCGUAGAGGGGUGCCUAAGGAGGAGCUUCUCGGCAAGUACGAAGAAGUGGAGCGGUAUUACCAGCGAGCGUUAGAAAUUUACGAGUCGAAGUUGGGGCCUGAUGACCCCAAUGUAGCCAAGACGAAGAACAACCUGGCCUCGGCAUACCUCAAGCAAGGGAAGUACAAGGAGGCCGAGAUCUUGUACAAACAGGUUCUCACCAGGGCUCACGAGAGGGAGUUUGGUGCCAUUGACGGCGACAACAAACCCAUCUGGCAGGUAGCCGAGGAGCGUGAGGAGAACAAGAAUAAGGUGAAGGACUCUGCCCCCUAUGGCGAGUAUGGCGGCUGGCACAAGGCGGCCAAGGUGGACUCGCCAACUGUGACCACGACCCUCAAGAACCUGGGUGCCCUUUACCGGCGCCAGGGCAAGUACGAGGCAGCCGAGACCCUGGAGGAUUGCGCCAUCCGGUCACGUAAGGAGGCCGUCAAUCUGGUCAAGGACGGGAUGACGCCCGAGGGAAGCCGACGACUCUCAGCCUCAAGGGACAGACUCCGCAGGGGGUCGCGGGAGUCCCUCAACUCAGCUGAGUUCGAUGCCAACGACGAUCCCCCAAACUUCCCCUCCCCCAUGGGGUCUGCCACUUCACAAAGAUCGCAAGAAGACGCACGCCACACCGACUGAAACGGGCAAGUUCGUUGUCCGUUCUUAGUGGAGAGGAGCCCCAGAAACAGUCCUUACAGGUUCCCCUAGCUGUGCGUGGUCGAGCAGUGAGCUCAGAACACCUUUCCCGACCAGCUGCUUCUGCCUCG
rnacentral:misc_RNA from 1 species